rnacentral:rRNA from 1 species
UACGUAGGGUGCAAGCGUUGUCCGGAAUUAUUGGGCGUAAAGAGUUCGUAGGCGGUUUGUCGCGUCCGUUGUGAAGGCUUGGGGCUCAACCCCAAGUCUGCAGUGGAUACUGUCGGGCUAGAGUGCGGAAGAGGCGAGUGGAAUUCCUGGUGUAGCGGUGAAAUGCGCAGAUAUCAGGAGGAACACCAAUUGCGAAGGCAGCUCGCUGGGACGUAACUGACGCUGAGACGCGAAAGCGUGGGGAGCAAACAGG